CCAAGACGUCUCGAAAAGUGGCACAGUGUACAGAGUGUGUUGCACCGGCCUCGGGUUUCAUCACCGCUGGCUUCAAGCAGCCAGGACAAAAGUUAAUGAUUCAAAAGCCAUUAAGUCUCAAAUUGGGUGUGUCCCAGGCCCACAACAAGCCAACAGCCUGUACUGUAUGUCAAUAUUAAAAUAUAGUCUAGUGUAAUUAUGCUUUCAGGCCAAAGACCAACCCCAUAGCUUCAUGGGAAUACGUCAUCCACUCUGACCCUUAAGAGUUUUCUUGGACUUUUCAUUGACUGCGCCAAGUCUGUUCACGAUUUAAUCUGCUUUAUAAAGCCGUCACGUGGGGGGACUUUCUUUCGUGGAGGAAGUUUUCUGGAGUGCUGCUUAACCGUGUGGAUGCUGACACAGCAGUGGCCUCACGGUCGGGGGAAACUCUAGAACCUUCCCCUCAAAAUCUAUUAGUCUUUUGGGACUUAAGUGUGCAACGCGUUCUGGGAAAGUCUAGCCUUUCACGCCAACACUGACCCACACGAACAGCUGAGAGAGCUGAGCCUUCAUGAGAACGCGGCAGUACAGAUUUCACGGAUCCCAUUUAAUGCCACAUCGGAAAAAAAACUUUUCACAGGCCACUGUCUCUUCCUCUGGCUAAAGGUCAACUUCAUUUUCACCAUCCAGUGUCAGCCAUAUCCGGACAGAAAGUCACCUGAUACCGGAAAUUAUAUUUCGAUUAACUGCCAAACAAACCCUGGCCCAAACACCUUCAGAGCUGGCAGAAUGGGAACCACAUGGUGUGGAAACACAUGCGACCUGCUGAGAGAGGGCUGUGAAAUCUCUUGUGUCCAGUUCAGACUAUAUUACAGUUGCCUAUCGACACCAAAGAGCCGCCACAACUGGUAACCAGCGGGGAGCAACACCAAGGGGGGGCUUCUUUUCUAGAAUAUUCUCCCACCCUCCGCUGGGCCAAAGCAGGACAGUUUUACUGAUGUCCACGGGGGAAAAGGCUUGCUGACCCGUUGUGCUCAUGUGGGUGGAGGCAGGCAACACGAGCGCCUGUGAGAUCAUGCUUUAGCCGGCCUGCUAUGGCCUCCAGGAGUUUAAAACGAGCGACUGUGAGAUCAUGCUUUAGCCGGCCUGCUAUGGCCUCCAGAAGUUUAAAAACGAUGAGCAAAUUAUUUCCAUGGCCCUAUCAGACUUGGGUCGUUUUUUUUUUCUUUUUUCUUUUUUUUUUUUUUCUUCAGCAAAAAAGGGGACCUUUGAGUCUUGAGUUUUCUUCUCAUAACAAGGGAAGGCAGUUCAACAUGCGCUGCACAGCACGUCCGCGAAUCAAACGCUGAGAUGUGAGACCGGGCCUAGCUGGGGAAGUAAUAACAAACCUGGCAAUGCAAGCUCUUCAAAAGUCUGAGCGACCCCAUCCUCUCCAAUCACGCCCGACUGUAAUCUCACACUGCUUGAUGGGAUCUCACUGGGCAAUAACAUUUUUCAGUGUCUUGUUACAUCAGACAAUCAGUAUGUAAAAGGUUCUUGUUUGAUUUAGAUUUAUAGAUGCAGAUGUCCAUACAUACUGUGCCAUUUUUUUUUUUUUAAGUCCAAUAUGUCCAUUUUCACCAUCCACUAACUGCAUAAUAAAAUGUAUAUGAACUUGUGACACAAUGGCAAUUAGUCUUGCUGCUUAUUUGUGUUAGCCGCUGUGUUAAUGUACCUGUUGACAUUUCAAUUUGAAUGUAUCUAGCUGCUAUCUGAUGAUUUAAUUUCUCUCCGGGGACUAAUAAAUUAAACUAAAUAUAACUAUACAAUAUAUAACUAUACAUAUACACUAUAUAUACUAUAUAUAUCCUAACUUGCACUUCUAUUAGUACUUAACUUGCACUUAUAGCAGUUACAUUCAUGCACUUUUUUCUUUUUCUUAUGUAAAAUAGUAUUUAGUUACACUAGGUCUCUAUUGCUCGUAGCUUGACUGUUCUCUCCCUUGUACGUCGCUUUGGACAAAAGCGUCUGCUAAAUGACUAAAUGUAAAUGUUUUUAAGUCCAAUAUGUCCAUUUUCACCAUCCACUAACUGCAUAAUAAAAUGUAUAUGAACUUGUGACACAAUGGCAAUGGCUAUAUCAAGACUAGAAGACCAGUAUUUCAGAUUUAGCCAAAAGGAUGACCUGGCCUGACACCAUGAGCUGACUUAGAGCAUUCAAAUUAUUUUGGGUCCCAAGUUUCUGUCUCAUAGCUUGGAAAAGUCACUUGCUUGAUUUAGAAUCGGUGACCUUUCUUUAGGUGUCCAUCAAAAGUCGCAGAGUCAUAAAACUAAUAAUGGUCCCUGUGGAUCUCAAAGGAUCCAAUUUCAGAGGUUGGGGGCAGACUUGCCCCACCAGCUUUCAAUGGACUUGAUUUAAUGCUAGGGUCGGCCAUGUGUUUCCAAAGGCAUUCAGUCUUAUAUUCCUUGAAAUGGUCUUCACAUCCCAACAGCAAUGAAUAAAUUAAAUGCUUUGAUAAAAAAAUCAAAAAAAUCUGUAAACAGCUUACUUGCCUGUGUACCGUCCUACCUGCCUACCAGCAUGCACUCUGCCCGUGCAAUCACCAAGCGUGAUCAGAGUCUUCCACAAGGCUAGGCAGACAUAUUGCUAAAGCUAGCGAGCUAGUCACACAAGAACUGCAGAGAAAGUGCAGCCAAAAUUUCCAGUUCCGACCAAAUACCUACAAAAACUUGCCUACAACCAAAAAGAGGUUGGAUAAAGCAAGAAGUCAAACUAGAUUCAACAUCAGUAUGGCUUUUUAACAAUAAUAAAACCAAUUUAUAUCUACAGCACCUUUCAGGAGCCCAAGGUGCUUUACAGAAUGCAUACAGAACAGACAGGCAUUGAGAGGCUGAGAGCAGACUGCUUUGGGAAGCCAUGCUGUGCGGUCAGCAGUCGCCGUGGACCAGCAUUACAUACAGUAGAUUUGGAAGGUCAGUGUUGGUAUCCCCACACUAAGGGACAACCAGAGGUUGAGGGAAGGGGCUGGGAUUUUCUUCAGUUAUACACUUUAAAAAUCUAGUUUGCUGUUGCUGUCUUCUCCAACAUUGCCUUCCCUACUUGUAAAUUAAUACACCAACCUGUCUGCCACAGAUAGUCAAAAGGGGACUUUGGACCGCUAACUGAAGGGGGUGGGGGCGCGAAGGGGUGCUGAUUGCAGACAGAUGAAUUGCCCGGUCUUAAAAACUUUUAAUGGCACUGGUAUGAAAGGCGCUCAACAUUUGCCCCAGCGUGCCAAUGAAGUCACCAACUUUGAACAAGACAGCCUUGUUUACCGCUCUGUUUACUGAUGUUUUGAAGACACGUGGCUGCCAUCACAUGCCACUAACUUUCACUGCCAAAACAACUAAAAUAGUCAAAUAGUGUGUGUAUUCCUCCAGCAUUUUUUCCAAAUGGAGACAUUUUGGAUAGCUUGAAUAAUGUCUCCCAGAGAUACCUGAAUGGCGGUAACCUCUAAUUUGAGCCUCCUCCUUCUUGAAUAACACACUAGAGAUGACAAGAUGGUAUAGUGGAGCUGGAAUGCUAAGUAGGUGUUCGCCUGAAACACACUCUCGUUUUUUUGGUUUUUAAGAGGGGGAUUUCUCCCAGUUUCUCUCAAACACGAAGUCACCCCCGAGGGAACAGGAGCCAGGGAGGGAGCAGAACAAACCGCUCAUCAUGUAACAAACUACAGGCUCCGCAGAGCAAAGGCUCCUCGCCACAACAAACAUUGAAGGGAAGGCAUGCCCUUAAAAUCCGCUGCACUUGCCAAAUAAUAAUAAUAGACUGAUGUGGGACGGUAGCGCGCUCGUUUGUUCCCGUUUGAAGGGCACAGCGUGGCAUGUCUUUCUCGGUACAUUUCCGGGUUGGCAUCUUUGCUAAGCCCCCCCCAAACGCCACCCCAUCCUGUACCAACCCCAUUCCACCCUGUCUAGUCUUGGGUCGUGUUUUGACUGGUCUCUUAAUAUACCCCCCUGGUUCUGCCUUGUGACUCUUCAGCAACACCCCUAAAUGUGGUGCACGGGGUGGGGGUUGGGGGGGGGAAUCAAAACUUAAACUGCGACUAAAAUGGAAGGAAUUCACAGCCCCAAAAACCAGAGGCGCGUGACACGGCUGCCUCACCACCCCCCCAUCUCCCCAAAAGGUGAGACAUCUUAAUUGUAUAGCCCUCAGCAAAUCUAAAAGCCAUAAAAGGAACGACCCAAAGGAGAAUGCAUCAUACCUGUGUCUCGUUUGCCUGUUUGAAAGCUUUAUGGGUUGGCAUUAAAAUACCAAACGAGACAAUCACAUCACGUCUCCUAAACGCACCGAUGGUAAAUAAGUGAAUACAACUACAACCACUGGUAGACAGGUUCUCGAAGUGCACAAGACGGUGGUAUGAAAAACUGACAGAUUAAAAAUGGCCAAAGGCUACUACUGCACUGUGGAGGAAGUGUAGAUCUAAGCAUGCAUGGUGACACAUUAUGGCCAGUUCUUAUUUUUCUUCCUUUCUCUUUUAAGAGAAAAUAUUUAAAGGAUUGAAGUCUUUGAAGUAGCGUUUGUUUUGCCUCGCCUUUCAGUCUCAGAAUGGAUGUGGAUUUUAACUAGGGAACAUAUUUUACAGUUUCCUCACAACCAUGCCCUCUUUAUGAUUACCAAUCCUAUGGCUUUAGAGCUUUAUUUUCCACCCCGAGACAAUAAGGAAACUUUUUAAAACCGAGAAAACAUUCAAGUGGUUAGGGUGUUCAAUAAGUAAACCAAACAAAAAAAGAAGAAAUAUUGAGCUAAUUUCUAAAAACAAUUGCAGUCUCCCUACUUAUCCAUUCAUUAGUCUUGCUGCUUAUUUGUGUUAGCCGCUGUGUUAAUGUACCUGUUGACAUUUCAAUUUGAAUGUAUCUAGCUGCUAUCUGAUGAUUUAAUUUCUCUCCGGGGACUAAUAAAUUCAACUAAAUAUAACUAUACAAUAUAUAACUAUACAUAUACACUAUAUAUAUCCUAACUUGCACUUCUAUUAGUACUUAACUUGCACUUAUAGCAGUUACAUUCAUGCACUUUUUUCUUUUUCUUAUGUAAAAUAGUAUUUAUUGUUACACUAGGUCUCUAUUGCUUGUAGCUUGACUGUUCUCUCCCUUGUACGUCGCUUUGGACAAAAGCGUCUGCUAAAUGACUAAAUGUAAAUGUAAAUGUAAUAUACUAUAUACCCUCCCCAACACACACACCUCCCAGUACCAGCUGAGUGACAGCUCCUCCAGAAGCACACAGAGGUGGCAUCCUUAGGUUUCUGUUUGGGAUGGAUUAGCUUUCCUUUCUGGUGUGCAGCACAGGUGAGAUGCUCCAUUUGAGGUGAAAACUCUUAAUCUCCUUGCAACGUGACACCACAGAGGUACAGUGACGUGAAGAAUAUUCGAGGAGGGGUCUACUUGUACAUACAAAGCUUUUAUUCCACACAAUGGCGAUGACUAUCGGGACGUGUAAGUCGAAAAUCUCCCCAGGAUUCACUUUCAAGAACUCAUUGUCGUCCCAAAAAAAGAGAAGUGUCAGAAGCAAACAAAACAAUUUGUAGGCGCAGUUAGCUUUUCUUAAGGUUUAGAUCGGUCUCUGAAAGUGUUCUUUUUUAGCGCAGCAAACAAACAGGAGCCAAGGACGGAUAAACAAUGAGAGCUUUUUCCACCAAUAAAAACCUGGUUUCUAUUAUUUGGUUGCUGAUGCUGAAGGACUCUGAGGCUUUGGCCCUGAAGGACAAAUCUGUUACUUUUCACUGAUCUACAAAUCCAUGACAAUCAAAUUACAUUUCUCACAGUAAGAAGCAGGCAACUAAGUAAAAAGCAAGCUAGCACCAGAAUAAUGACUUAGAAGAACACGAAAAACACAAAAGGUCACAAAAGUAGCGAGCCUACCACUGUCAACACCACAUGCAACCAUGAACAUGACAUACAACCAAGCCACUGUGCUUUGAACCAAGCUACAGCAGUGCUUACGGUUUGUGGGGUCAAUCCAAACUCAGUCUCGGCUCAGCAAGUUCCUCCCCAAGGGACAAUCGCGAAUGAGACCCCCUCGCCAGUAGUCAGGGCGGUCAUGUAACUACUUUAGGAGACGACCCUGAUGAGCACUCACAGCUGCUUGUCCCCUUAUAUAAGGCCAACAUAUCUGUGC
ensembl:lncRNA